rnacentral:rRNA from 1 species
CGAAAGCCUGACGGAGCAACGCCGCGUGUGGGAAGAAGGCCUUUGGGCUGUCAACCACUUUUCUCAGGGAAGAAGUUCUGACGGUACCUGAGGAAUCAGCCUCGGCUAACUCCGUGCCAGCAGCCGCGGUAAUACGGAGGAGGCAAGCGUUAUCCGGAAUUAUUGGGCGUAAAGCGUCCGCAGGGGGCUCAUCAAGUCUGCUGUCAAAGCCCGGGGCUCAACCCCGACGCGGCAGUGGAAACUGGGAGGCUAGAGGACGGCAGGGGUAGAGGGAAUUCCCAGGGUAGCGGUGAAAUGCGUAGAUAUUGGGAAGAACACCGGUGGCGAAAGCGCUUUGCUGGACCGAACCUGACGCUGAGGGACGAAAGCUAGGGGAGCG